UUUCUGCCUCCCUUGGGCACACUCUAAAAGGUGGUGACCUUUCUUUCCUAAAAUGUGACCACUCACUGACGCAAACAGAAAGAAAGAAUUUUACAAAGAAGAACACAUGUUUGCAGCAGUCUUUUGGCUUCAGGAUUUAACUGAAGUUUUUCAACUUGACGCAUGGAAGAAUCAAAACCAGAAGAAUGAAGAAUGUGUAACAAAAGGAGCGCAGUGUUAAUGUUUAUGAAAAAGUUCCAAUUUCUGACAUGAACUAUGAAGAAAGCUGUAUCUGCUCAAGAUCCCAUGCCGCAGAUUUAUGUAGCUGAAACUGCUGAAAACUCACUGCUAAAACAAAGAGGGGAAAAGGCUGAUUUCCAGAUUUUUAUAAGAUAAACAUCAAACAAAUUCCCAAGCGAAUGGAUUGCAAUGCCUCUAAAAACACGUGGAAACAAGGAUUACUUCUGUUCAGGAACAAGACAAGUGAAGGACAUUUUGCAGGAGCCAAAUUCCAGACAACUGGUAAACUCUGUAGCAACAGCAAAAAAAAACUCCAGCUUUCCAUAUAGCUUCCAGCUACCUCUGGUACAGGAGACAGUGAAGGCUGUGUGGUGAUGUGGGCUUGAAACCCAGCAAGUCCUAGGGUAUAUUCUUACUUCUGCUACAGGCUUGCUUUGCAACCAUUCAUUAGUUUCUGGAGAGGAACGGAAGAGUUUGAUCUUACUUAAAAUAAAUUCCACAGCAUAUCACCUUAGGCAAGCUUCUGUAUAAAGAUAAUAAUGUUUACUCCUUAACUUUACAAGGGUACUGGGGCUGUUAUUACAGCUGUAGCACUUUGACCGUGGAAAUGCUACGUUGUCAUAAUUUUCUGUCCUUCACUCCGUUGUGUCUAAAGGAGGACUUUGAGAUUUAUUGUUCUCAGC
ensembl:lncRNA